GAUGAAGAACGUAGCGAAAUGCGAUAAGUAGUGUGAAUUGCAGAAUUCAGUGAAUCAUCGAAUCUUUGAACGCUCAUUGCGCCCCUUGGUAUCCCGAGGGGCAUGCCUGUUCGAGCGUCAUUUCACCACUCAAGCCUGGCUUGGUGUUGGGCGACGUCCUCUUUGGGGACGCGCCUCGAAACGCUCGGCGGCGUGGCACCGGCUUUAAGCGUAGCAGAAUCUUUCGCUUUGGAAGUCGGGGCCCCGUCUGCCGGAAGACCUGCUCGCAAGGUUGACCUCGGAUCAGGCAGGGAUACCCGCUGAACUUAAGAAUAUCAAUAAGCGGAGGA
rnacentral:misc_RNA from 1 species